GCCGAAGUGGCGGAACUGGCAGACGCGCUACGUUCAGGGCGUAGUCCUCUUACGAGGGUAUGGGUUCGACUCCCUUCUUCGGCA
rnacentral:tRNA from 1 species